CAUUCCUAGUGCAAAAUGAGCAGUGAAGAUUUGCUGGCGAAAUUCGACGAGAUGGUCAAGCGUUUCAAGCAGGAAUUCAAUGAAAUUAUCGAAGGCGAGCGUGCCAAAAUGAGGGCGGAAGUAGAAGCGUACAAAGCAGAAAAGCUUCGAAUGAAAGCAGUCGAAGUCAGCGACGAUGAUAUAAUCAAUCUCAACGUCGGUGGGAAAAAAAUGACGACAAAGAGAUCAACUUUGUGUCAAGUCGAAGGUUCGUUGCUCGCUUCCAUGUUCAGCGGCAGAUGGGAAGACAGUCUCGCUCGUGAUGAAGAUGGUCGUAUUUUCUUUGACUUCAACCCACAAUACUUUGUGUAUAUCUUGGAUUAUCUUCGCGCGAGGACAAUCGCGACCGCGGAGAAUCCCGCACCAUUGCCGAAAGUCGCUGAAGACCAAGUGAAACAUUUCAGCAAUCUUGUCGAAUAUCUCGGCUUGGGCGAUGAAAUUGUCCCCCCUGUGAUUGUGCCGCCGGAGAAAUUUAAUUUACACAGCACUGGAGUUACUCUUGAGGAAGGCGAUAAAGUUGCAGUCCAUGAUUCAACUCCAGGACAUAAAUACGUUCUUGGUGAAAAUACGUACCAACAAGGGAUUGUGCAUCGCAAGUUGAAGAUAGAGUCGUUUCAAAAUAAUCAUUGGAUGGUGGUUGGUGUAACGAAAGGGGAUGUUGUACCACAGAAUGACUAUUCACAUGGCUGGCCUGGUUCUUAUGGAUGGGCACUCGGGUGCAAUGGUGGUCAAGGAAUGUAUAAAGAGGGGUCACAUACAACGGAAACUACUUUACAAAACCUUACAAAGCAAGGUGAUACUGUUGAGUUGGUCUUGGAUUGCGAUGCAGCCAAGCUGUCGCUACAUCUGCCUUCUGG
rnacentral:lncRNA from 1 species